rnacentral:rRNA from 1 species
UACGGAGGUGCAAGCGUUAUCCGGAUUCACUGGGUUUAAAGGGUGCGUAGGUGGGCAGGUAAGUCAGUGGUGAAAUCUCUGGGCUUAACCCAGAAACUGCCGUUGAUACUAUCUGUCUUGAAUGUAGUGGAGGUGAGCGGAAUAUGUCAUGUAGCGGUGAAUGCUUAGAUAUGACAUAGAACACCAAUUGCGAAGGCAGCUCGCUACACUACUAUUGACACUGAGGCACGAAAGCGUGGGAUCGAAACAGG